UCGAGAAUUUUUCUCAAUGGGCGAAAGCCUGAAGGAGCGACGCCGCGUGGGGGAUGAAGGGCUUCGGCUCGUAAACCCCUGUCAUUUGCGAACAAACCUUUGCAUUGAACAGAUGCAAAGCUGAUAGUAGUGAAAGAGGAAGGGACGGCUAACUCUGUGCCAGCAGCCGCGGUAAUACAGAGGUCCCAAGCGUUGUUCGGAUUCACUGGGCGUAAAGGGUGCGUAGGUGGCGGAAUAAGUUUGAUGUGAAAUCUCCGGGCUUAACCUGGAAAAGGCAUUAAAUACUGGUUGGCUGGAGGGUUGGAGGGGGGACUGGAAUUCUCGGUGUAGCAGUGAAAUGCGUAGAUAUCGGGAGGAACACCAGUGGCGAAAGCGAGUCCCUGGACAACUCCUGACACUGAGGCACGAAAGCUAGGGGAGCAAACA
rnacentral:rRNA from 1 species